rnacentral:lncRNA from 1 species
GUUCAAUCACAGCACUGUUUCAAUAGAGAACUCCAUAUAUUUAAAGCGCUGAUACUGUUUUCCCUCUAAAUGACAGGCUUGACAGAUGGGCCGAAAGCACUGCAGACGUUUGAACAAGGAAAUAGAGAGGGAGCCUGCUGGAAGCAAGGCUUCACGCAGCCAGCCGCGGAUGAUGAAUAGAGUGUGAUUGUGUCUGACAGAGCAUGUGCCAGGCCUCCAAUCAUUUGUUUUUCCUCUGUUUGCCACUGAGCUGCAUGGCCCCACUUCAGAACAGUCUUCGCUGUCUUUCUCCUCCGUUUGGUGGGGAUCAGGAUCAGGAUUGAUGCUGCAUUGGGAUUCUUUCUGACAUCCACCAUAAUCAAUGUUUCUAUUCAGUGUUGCUUGGCUGGCAUCAUGUGUGGAACAGAGCAGAGUGCCCAGUCAGCACCACACAGAGGCAAGGAGAAAAUGAGGAAGGGAGUGAGAGAGAUGCAGUGAAAAGGUUGAUAACAAAUUAAAGACUCAAGC